UAGCAUGAUGAUACACACCAUUUUUUUUUAUUUUCUGGUACCUCUUAUGUCAGGGGCAGUGCCUACCCGGUGUUGCUCCAAUGCUCUAAACGGACUUCUGAAC
rnacentral:snoRNA from 1 species